rnacentral:lncRNA from 1 species
UUUUUUUUUUUUUUUUUUUUUUGCUCAAAAUUGUAAUCGAUUCAACAUCACAUCUUAGUGAAAGCAGAGAGUUUGUCACCCUUAUUCCUUAAGAAAAUUGAGUCAACAUAUAAGCUUUAAACUUGCAACCAAUGGGUAGGAACGAUAGCUAAACAUGCGAAAACUGGUUAUACCCUUAUGAUCAUAAAUAAUUGAUGGAUUCCUUACGAGCAUAAUCCUCACUUUGGAUUGUCAUGAAGGAAUAAGUCAACAAUGGACUUUAUUAGCUUGUAAUGUGGCUUGAAAACGAUAGCUAAAGAAUAAAACUUUCAAGGACAUAGUACCGAAAUCGCAUUUUUCUCAAAAUUGCCCCUAUUUUGAACCCGAAGAUUCUAAACUUUGUUUGAUCAUUCAAAAGGGACUUCACCAUCGAAUCUUUUGUAUUUCAUUAUUCCUUUUUGCUUUUCCGUUUUCUUUUCUUUGAUCUGGUGGGUUUUCACAUGGUGAGUAGCGUCAACCCCAUACCCAAGCAAUUCAGAAAUACAGCUAAAAUUUUCCGGCAUCAGAAAUUUUCUUGACAGGGCCAUUGCAAAGAACAGAAGUCAGGACUUUCAGCUUUUGUAAUGGGGUCUGGUGGGGUGCUAAAAAAAGUUAAGGCUUGAAAGCGGAUUUCAAAAUGGUUUGAAGAAUCUGAGAUCGCAUUGUUGUGCCAACCCUAUUUUAGGGCUAAAUCAAAUUUUGCCCCAGUUUAUACUCAAUUGAUGCUUUUUCUUUUUCAUUUUCUUUCUUCUUUUGAUUUUUCGGCUUUCUGCCAUUUUUUUGAAAUUUUCACAAAACUUGCCCCAGUUUAUUUGUGAACUGAGGUUCUCAUUUCUUCUUUUGUCUUUUGAUUUUGUGGCUUUUCACUUUUCACUUCUUGAAAUUUUCAUUUUCAACUCAAACUUGCCCCAGUGUGGGGUUUGCAAUUCUCAGGGGUUGCCAAACGAAAUAAUUCAUCUGAAGGCUCAAAAGGGAUAACUAAGGAUAGAAUGUUCGCUUGGAAAAGAAGAGGGCCUGACCUUUAUCCCGUUCUUUACAUUAACUCUGAAAGGAAACUUUCUUUAAUGACGAAAUUUCUCGCAUGUAUUCGAAUUAAUUGACUGAGGAAGACGCCUGUGAAGCAUAGAUGAUCCGCCAGAUGAAAUUCUUCCUUUUCUUUUUUCAACAUUGGAACCCAAGUGGAAUCAAAUUUCCAAUUUGCGGUUCUCUCCCUUUUAGCCUUAGCAUUUUGGCUUUUCUCUCUCUUUUGGAAAAUUCUCCAAUCUUCUUCCCCAGUGUGGGGGGCGAUCAUAAGUGCUUUGAAAAGAACCAGCAAUUUUGGCUCAAAUGAGGAUGCAAGGGAUAAAGCAGUGUUUAAAUGGUAGAAACGAUGGCCAAAGCAUCAUUCUUACGCUUCAUGACAAACCAAAGUAAAGAAAUGCUCAUUGAGAAUCCAUUCCCCCUUUUGAUAUUCGAAAAUUUUCCCAUGUAGGGUUGUGAUCAUCAAGGCGCUUAUUUGAAACGAAGUUAUUCUUUUAAAGGCUCAAACGGGAGAGCAAAUGAUAAAAUCUGUAUGGGUAGAGAAACGAAUGCUCAAAGUAUCAUUCCAAAUUUUCAAAACAAAUAAGAAUAAUGCACCCUUUCGCUUUCACUUAGAUAUGAUUUGAGUCUAAUUAGACACUAUGGACAUUUUUCCAAGUAAAGGUUGCCCCAAUGGGGUCAAUAGAAGUGGCAAAACAUGAAUUGUUCAGCGAAGGAGAAAAGGUAUCUCAUUGGGCCUUUUGAAGGACCUCUCUUAUUUUUGAGCACUUUUAUUGUACAACUCGGAUCACCAAUCGAGAGUAAGGAUCUUAGGAAACAUUCACUUGUGAAUUUUCAGGCUGGAGAUUAAAAAUAUCUCAAUUUGGUCUUAUUUCUCAAAAUUCAUCAUGAAAUCUCCAAUGAGUAAGAAUAAAGAAUGAAAUGUACAUAAAUAUACACAAAACAAUAAUUGUCCAAAAAUUUUAUUGCUGAAAAACAAUUUGAAACAAAAUUUCUCGUUCAAUUAUGAUACAAAUGAGAAGAGAAUUUAUUGUUUCCUUUUCCUUUGGAACAAAAUUUAACAAAUCAAAUAAACAGAACAAUUACGACAUCUCUCAGAGGCUUUAGCGUAGAGCUUCCAGAUGGAUCAUUUAUGUUUUAAUCGUAGGAUCUGCCCAAGAAUCAAAUAACACUUAUAAUCUUCAAACUUUAUGGGAUUAAAAUUAGCAUCAGAUAUAGAAGAAUAUUUUCGUCUUAUUGAAACAUUUUUAUGAAUGCAGGGGAGGGGGAAAACAAAAGAAAAAUACCCAGAGUUAGUAGGCAAAACUGCAAAAUCGGUAUGCAUGUCCUAUGGGGGAACCCUUUUUGUGCCAAGGGUAGGCCUAGCAUGAAAAUGCAAUCCGCUAGAGUAGGCACUAUACAAUACCUGAUGGAUCUGAUCAAUUCAUUGAGUGAAAAAUAAUUUUGAAGAAUUUGGUCAAUUGGAGAGACGAAAGACACUGUCAAAAAGAGGACCUCGUCCGAAGGGAUUGAUCACCUUUGAUCGAUAUUUGCAAAAACGCACGGUUUGACCUUGACGAACUUCCUAUCGAAGAAAUUGGAAUUCGUUUGACAACUUUUCUCAGUGAAACACGGGUCAAAACUCCAACUGAUCAAAUGGCUGGAUGCAAUGGAUGUUUUUUUUUCUCAAAAUCGACUAGGUUUUCCAUUUUGAAAUUUGACAUUGAAAUCUUAAUUGGUCAAAUGAAAUUAACAAUUUAUUAAAAAUCGACCGGAUGACCCUAAAAAGGGUAGAUUGGUCAAAUGAAUUGAUUGAAAUUGAUAAUUUAUUCAAAAAUCGACCAAUCACCCUAAAAAGGGUAAAUUGUCAAAUGAAUGAAAUUGAAUUAGUGAUUUAUUCAAAAAUCGCCGAAUGACCCAAAAAGGGUAAAUUGGUAAUUGACGAUUUAUUCAAAAUCGACCGGAUGACCCUAAAAGGGUAAAUUGGUCAAAUGAAUUGAUUGAAAUUGAUGAUUUAUUCAAAAAUCGACCCAAAUCACCCAAAAAGGGUAAAUUGAUCAAAUGAAUUGAUUGAAAUUGAUGAUUUAUUCAAAAAUCGACCAAAUCACCCAAAAAGGGUAAAUUGAUCAAAUGAAUUGAUUGAAAUUGAUGAUUUAUUCAAAAAUCGACCAAAUCACCCAAAAAGGGUAAAUUAGUCAAAUGAAUUGAUUAAAAUUGAUGAUUUAUUCAAAAAUCGACCAAAUCACCCAAAAAAGGGUAAAUUAGUCAAAUGAAUUGAUGAUUCAUUCAAAAAUUAACCGGAUGACCCUAGAAAGGGUAAAUUGGUCAGAUGAAUUGAUUGAAAUUGAUAAUUUAUUCAAAAAUCGACCAAUCACCCUAAAAAGGGUAAAUUGGUCAAAUGAAUUCAAAAAUCGACCAAAUCACCCAAAAAGGGUACAUUGGUCGAAUGUGUCGCGCCCCAUUUUUUGAUAAAUAAAUAAAAUGAAAUGGUUUAAAAAAUGUAUUUUUGUGAUUGAAUUUGUGAUUGGAAAAUGAAUUGUGAAUUAAAAGAAAAAUGGGUCUAAAUGGGGGUUUGAGAAUGCGACGAUUUGACCCAAAAUUAUAGUUUAAAAAGGGUUUUUAAAACAAAUACGGAGUCGCCACUUGGUAAUGAGUUAAGGUGUACCAAGUCACCUAAAAAAUGAAUUUUUAAGAAAAAUAGGAAAAAGUAGUGAGAAACCCUUUUUAAACGACUCCUAGCCCACGUAAACCAAAGAAAAAGGUUCGGGAGUCACAUUUGACAAAGGGGAAGGCAAGGAUAAAAUCCAAGGCACCCCUUUGACCUAGCCAAGGCUAGUUGCAUGAUUUAAUCAAAGAUUUUCUUGUUUUAAUCAAAGAAUUUAUUACAUUUGGAUGCACUACAUGAAUGCAAAAUGAAGAAAAAAUGCAAACCUAAAUUCUAAAAUGUCUCUUGCAAGGUUUUUGGUCCCAACCACAUGAAUUGUGGCGGCCAAUAAAGGACAACCUUAUAGAGGUCGAUUAAUGCAAAUGAUGGCUAAAGUGCAAGUGUGCAAGUGUAUAAAAAGGUGAACGUGUGAAAUUGUAUGAAAAAUCCAAGUGUUUGUGUGCAAGCGUAUGAAAAGGUGCAUGUGUGAAAUUGUAUGAAAAAUCCAAGUGUUUGCGUGAAAAUAGAAUAAUAGAUAUAUAAGGUAAAGUGGAAUUCCAUUUGUGAGGUGAAAAUGAGCGCGUGAUAGGGAAAAUGUAGUGAGAAAGUAUGGUUUGAGAAAUGUGAAAAAAUGUGGUUAAAAGAGUAUGUGGGUGAUAAAAAUGAAAGUAUGACCCUAGAGGAAUGCAACAAGUCGGGUACGGGGGUUGACUCCUAACUUUUCGACUUCUAUUUUCCCUUUGAUUAGAAGGCAAAACUAGCGUGCUAAGGCUAUUGAGUAGCCACACUCGCUCGUUUUCCUUAUCGGAAGGGGACACUCAAGCAAAAUGAACCCUAUAGCUAGCAUGAGAUGCAAAACCUAAAGUGAGGGGAAAGGGAUUCGAGGAACAUGCCCAAUGAUAAAACUAAAGAAAGUUGUAUGAUAUGUGGUGAACAAGCAAAUGAUACACUAAUGAAAAGAAAGGAAAAAGCCUAUUGGGUCUAGCGUUGGACUAGCCCUUUCUAUGGAUUUCUACUAGCAUUGGACUAGUGGAAACGGAACAAUGAACCACAACUAGCGUUGGACUAGUGUGGUGACGAGAAAGGGGGCCACAACUAGCAUUGGACUAGUGUGGUGACGGGAAAGGGGGCCACAACUAGCAUUGGACUAGUGUGGUGACGUCCAUUCAUCCAUCACAUUCAUUCAUGACUAUAAAAAGCGAGUAGACAUGCGAAUCACUUAUAAACACGUAGCACAUAACACUUAGCAUGCUUGACUAGAUGCAAGGACCUAAUAAAGCGAUUAAACACGUAGCAACGAAAGCAAGCAAUGAACUUAUUACAUUUGCUAACUAAAACAAAGGGGGGGAAAGGGAAAAUGGACAAGAAAGCUCACCAAGCCCUAUCUAUUACAAGCCAAGAGGUGUACACAUACCCCAUUUAAAAGAAUAAUUUAAUAAAAGCAAGAAUGAAUGAAAUAAUGGAACUAAAGAAUGGUAAUGAAAGCAAAUUAGGCAUGCGAUUCACACUUAGCACAUUGGAUCACAUAGGAGAGACAAAAGGGAUAAAAGAAAUUAUACCUCCCUUGAAAUGAAGCUCUAAUGGAGUGAAGUCAACUUAUUUACCCUCCAAAAUAAUAAAGGAGUCAAGGUGCCAAUUUAUUUGACAAAUAAUCACAAAGGAUAAAAAUAAACAUGAAUUUGAAUCAAUUAAAUCAUGUCAACAACCCACAUUUAAGAAGUCAAGAGAAGAAAAGACUUGAUUGCAAAAAAAAAUUAAUAAAGUUUUGGGGUCAAAAUUAAAGAAAAAUAAAGUUUAGGGGCCUAUUUACAAUUAAGUUAGGGACCCAAUUGAAAGAGGUUGAAAAUGUUUAGGGCCACAGUACAGUUAAAGAGAAAGUCAGGGGCUGAUUUGCAAAUGCCUUUUUUCUGGUUUCUUAGUGGAUCAGGCUACUUGGGCCAUUUAUUUGUUUGUUUGGGCCAAAGCUUCCUUAAGCCCGAUCAAAAAAAAUCAAAGAAAACAGAUGGGCUGGCCUUCACUUUCCAGCAAAGCAAAUCCAACCAAAAGAGUGGGCUUCACCUCUUAAGCCCAAACCAGAAAUCCAAACAAAAGAAAUUAAGCCCACUUUUCAAACCCAACCAAAUAUUAAUACCCAAAAAACCCAACUCAUAAAACUAAACCCAACAAGAUUAGCAAGUCAAAUAAAAUUAUCAAGCCACAAUUAUGAUCUAAAAUCAAGAAUUAAUCCACCCAAAAGACUGCUUAAAAAAUUGAAAGGAUAAUUAAAGUCUAAAAGGGCAAAAUUGGUUUAAUUACAAAAGGUUUUAGGCCAUAUCAGAAUAGGGGAAAUUCGAGGGAUUCAAAUGCAACCAAAGCAGGGACCUAAUUGAAGGACUUAUGCAGGUGUUGGAGGCAAAUUAUGAAGCUCAGAAAAUGCAGGACCAAAUCACAAAACAAAAAGAAAAUGGAGGGAUUGAAACUUCAAUUUAAGCAAGUAUUCAUCUUCCCCAAAUGAAUUCAACAUCAGACCAACAUUGCUACUUUCUUACGAAGGAAAAAUGUCCGAAAAAAAAAAACUUCGGACUCACAUGAAUUUCUUCUCAUCUGAAUUCAUAUCAUUAAAUCGAUUUUAUGCAAGAAGGGAAAUUAAGAAAACAAAGCCCGUCAAAUACUGCUUUUAUUCACGAAAAACGACACCGGCUACUUGUUCUCUUCAUCCGAAAAAUGCAGAUAAAUCACCUUGGAAUCAGAAAUUUCAAUCAAGCAAUUCGUCGAACAGGUUAGGGGCGUUAGAAAAUUCACCAAUUCUUUGUUAUAUGGAAGCAAUAAUCGGCCCAAAAUUUAUCAGAAAUCAAGCCAUUCAGCUCAAUCAACGUAUGCAGCAUGUGUAUUCAAAAAUGAAGCCAAUUAACAGGAGAAUUGCACCAAAUAAAAUCACGGAAAACCCAUUUCAAAAGCCGGACAAGAACUGGAAAAUUUUUAUCUCCACCAUGUUUCAGUCCAAUUAGCGAGAAAACAAAACAUACACAAUUACGAAAUCACAUAUAAAGCUAUAGGCAACUAAUCAAUAUCAGAAAAAUGAACAAUAAGCUUCAAAAAAUCUAGAACCGAAACUCGAAAAUUAAGGGAGAAAGACUUACAGUGCUAAUCUCAAUGAGCUUCAAUGAUGGUGGUAGUGGAUUUCGGUGGGCAGCCUUCCCUUCUUGCUUCUGGCCCGAAGUUCUUCUGAAUGGCCUGCUUGUGGCUUCGUUAUGGAGAUUGAGGAGAGGGAUCGUGAGGCUUUUGGGAGGCGGAUUGGGCUUCCUUCCAUUUCUGUGAAGCUUUGAUAGCUGCAACCAAUUCUUUCCCUGGCAAAGCUCGUUUCUUCCUCCGUUCAGCCGAAGCCUCCCUUUUCCUUUUUCUGCUUUUUCCCUUGCCAGCCGACCUUUUCUUCUUCCCAAGCCCAGACCAAAUCUCCCAUUUUCCAUCCGCGGCCCCCCCUAUGGUUCGUCCGUAGCUUCUCUUUCUCUGUUUUUGUUGUCUCCUUUCUCCAUCAGACGGAAGCCUCUGACUUCCUUGUUUCUCCCUAGCCAGCCAUCCCCGAUUCUCCCUUUUUGUUUUCUCAUUUUUUUGAUUUUCCUUUUUCUGUUUUUCUAUUCCUUCCCCCCUGGCGUGGCCGAAGCCUUCCUCUUUGUUUUUCUUGUUCUGUUUUGCUCUCUAGCCGCCCCUCAAUUUCUCCCUCUCUGCCAUUUUCUCAGCCGAAGACCCCUCUCGGUUCUUCCCUCUGCUGUUUUUUCCUUUUUCCGUUGUGUUUUCCCUUGGUCAAAAACUUCCGCCAAACUCCUCUGUUUUCUCUUUUUCUGUUUUUUGCCCCCGCCCCCUGCUGAAGAUCCCCUUGUUUUUUUCUUUUCUUUCCCUCUCUUUUUUCUUCCCUCCGAUGAUGCUCUCUUACUCCUCUAAAUGUGUAACACCUAAACCCCUUUGUUGUCCAACUAGAAUGAGGACAUUUGUCCCACAUGCAAGAUUCCACUUGACAUUUUUAUUAUUUUCUUCUUUUUCUUUUUUUUUUCCUGAAAUUUAGUAUGAAGAUCAAAAUAAACUAAAAUGGCCUAAAAAUAAAAUAAAUUAAAAUAAAAUAAAAAUAAAAUAAAAUAAAUAAAUAAACCAAAAACUAAAAAUUGAACACAUAAAUCUAAACUUAAAUCAAUUAAAAACAGAGUUGAAAAAAUCAAAAAUUUGGUGUCUACAGUUUGCCCCUCUUUGUCUGAGUUUUGGAAAAACUUGAGACAAAGAAAUAGACACCAAAUACUUACCUGUGUUAUUCGGCUGCGAAUUACUCAAAUGAUGAGGACUGACCCUGACAGGAAAUUAAACGAGACUGACCCGAAUAGAAUUUUUAAACGGGACUGACCCGAACAGGAAUUUAAACGGGACUGACCCGAACAGAAUUUAAACGGGACUAACUGAAGUGAGAUGGAGUAUUGGUGGGGUUGACCCAUGUUUAUUGGUGAUGCAAAUGAAAGAAACGAAACGAAGUGUUAAUGGGACUGAGCCACGUUCCAGUGGCUGUGAAACUGAAAUGUUCACUGGCGGGACUGACCCACGUUCCAGUGGCUAUGAAAAUAACAUGCUUUGACAAUCGGACAGUGGGAUCAAACCCGAACCUGCCGUGAUGAACUUGAUUUGAUUUUUGAUUUGAUUUUUUUUUUUUGAUGGAUUUUUUUGAUUUUUUUGAUUUUUUGAUUUUUUUGAGAAACUUUCCAAAGAUAAUUUGCCCCAGUAUGAAGAAUUGGUCAGUGGGAAUCGGUCAGUGGUAUAAAGCACGGUCAGCGGGAUAAAACCCGGUCCUGCCGAGAUUGGCGGGAUGAAACCCGGUCCCAAUUGAUAAAAGCGGUCAGCGGGAUAAAACCCGGUCCUACCGAGAGAAUUGGCGGGAUAAAACCCGGUCCCAAUGAAGUAAGCGGUCAGCGGGAUAAAACCCGGUCCUGCCGAGGUCGGAGGGAUAAAACCCAUGCCCAAUGAAGUAAGCGGUCAGUGGGAUAAAACCCGAGCCUGCCGAGAUCGGAGGGAUAAAAUCUAUGCCCAAAUGGAAAUAAAAGCGGUCAGUGGGAUAAAACCCGAGCCUGCCGAGGUCGGAGGGAUAAAAUCUAUACCCAAAUGGAAAUAAAAGCGGUCAGUGGGAUAAAACCCGAGCCUGCCGAGGUCGGAGGGAUAAAACCCGUGCCCAAACGAAAAUAAAGCGGUCAGUGGGAUAAAACCCGAGCCUGUCGAGGUCGGAGGGAUAAAACCCGUGCCCAAAUGCGAUAAGCAAUGUUGGCGGCACAAAGUCCAGACCCAGCGUGAUGUUUGGAAUGUUGGCGGCACAAAAUCCAGGCCCAACGUGACUUUUGGAAUGUUGGCGGCACGAAACCCAGGCCCAACUUGACUUUUGGAAUGUUGGCGGCACGAAACCCAGGCCCAACGUGAUUUUUGGAAUGUUGGCCGGACACCAUGCCAGGCCCAACGUAUUUUUGCCGAAGUUUGGCCGGGGCACCAUGUCCCACGGCCCCAACUUGACUUUUGGAAUGUGGCGGCACGAAACCCAGCUGCCCAACGUAAUUUUCGAAUGUUGCGGGGCACCAUGUCCACGCAACGUGAUAUUUUGAAUCUUCGCCCGGCCACCAUUCUCCUCAGUGCCCACUGAUCUUUUGGAAAUGCUUCCGGCCACGAAAACCCGAGCCCCAACGUAUUUUCGCAAUGUGCCAGGGGCACCAUUCCAGACCCAACUAAUCUUUGGAAGUUUUGUAACUGGUCAGUGGGAUAAGACCCAGUCCUGCCAUCCAAUUGGUCAAGAAACUGAAUUUGAUUUUCCAAGAAACAAGAAUUUGAACUUGAUUUUUGACUUUUGAAUUUUGAAUUUUUCUGAUUUUUUUUUUUGUAAGAAUCUUUUUCAAAAUAAUUUGCCCCAGUGUAGGGCCAUUUUCCCUUCUUUUCCUCUUUCUUCGGCAUCGGCCUUCCACAUCACCAGAUGCUCUUUCGUCGAUUUCAACAAUGAAUACCUGCACAGGGGCUUACCAAAAUAUGACAUGCAUUCACAUUUACAUGAAAAGAGCAGCGUGAUUGAUUCGAAAAUGUAUCAUUUUGACUUUUGGACGAAAUCCUCAAAUGUAUUGCGGAAAAUUUUGCCCCAGUGUGGGCUUAUUUUAUGAAAUCUCAUGAACAAAAUUUUGCCCCAGUGUGGGCUCCCUUGAUUGCAACAAUUUGUUCAGAUGAUUUCCCAUUUAUUUGAACAAAGAGAAACAGCACUUCUAAAAUUUAGAAAAUAGUCAUAUAUACAAUGUGAAGACACUUAACGUCGAGUUUGAACUCAUGCAAAAAUUUCAUGGUGAAUCCCUUAGAAUAACACCAAAUUCAAGAAGAUUUCUUCUUCGCUUUUAGCAUCGGUGCUUAGGAUAACAGGUCACCACUUUCUGGUUGGCUCAUCUGUCAGGACCAAUCAAGUGACUUUAUUUUUGAUUUGGAAAUGGCUGAAGGAAAUGGGAGGUCAAGAUUUGUCUCUUUUUUUUUUUUGUGCUCAAAAUUGUAAUCGAUUCAACAUCACAUCUUAGUGAAAGCAGAGAGUUUGUCACCCUUAUUCCUUAAGAAAAUUGAGUCAACAUAUAAGCUUUAAACUUGCAACCAAUGGGUAGGAACGAUAGCUAAACAUGCGAAAACUGGUUAUACCCUUAUGAUCAUAAAUAAUUGAUGGAUUCCUUACGAGCAUAAUCCUCACUUUGGAUUGUCAUGAAGGAAUAAGUCAACAAUGGACUUUAUUAGCUUGUAAUGUGGCUUGAAAACGAUAGCUAAAGAAUAAAACUUUCAAGGACAUAGUACCGAAAAUCGCAUUUUUCUCAAAAUUGCCCCUAUUUUGAACCCGAAGAUUCUAAACUUUGUUUGAUCAUUCAAAAGGGACUUCACCAUCGAAUCUUUUGUAUUUCAUUAUUCCUUUUUGCUUUUCCGUUUUCUUUUCUUUGAUCUGGUGGGUUUUCACAUGGUGAGUAGCGUCAACCCCAUACCCAAGCAAUUCAGAAAUACAGCUAAAAUUUUCCGGCAUCAGAAAUUUUCUUGACAGGGCCAUUGCAAAGAACAGAAGUCAGGACUUUCAGCUUUUGUAAUGGGGUCUGGUGGGGUGCUAAAAAAAAGUUAAGGCUUGAAAGCGGAUUUCAAAAGUGGUUUGAAGAAUCUGAGAUCGCAUUGUUGUGCCAACCCUAUUUUAGGGCUAAAUCAAAAUUUUGCCCCAGUUUAUACUCAAUUGAUGCUUUUUCUUUUUCAUUUUCUUUCUUCUUUUGAUUUUUCGGCUUUCUGCCAUUUUUUUGAAAUUUUCACAAAACUUGCCCCAGUUUAUUUGUGAACUGAGGUUCUCAUUUCUUCUUUUGUCUUUUGAUUUUGUGGCUUUUCACUUUUUCACUUCUUGAAAUUUUCAUUUUCAACUCAAACUUGCCCCAGUGUGGGGUUUGCAAUUCUCAGGGGUUGCCAAACGAAAUAAUUCAAUCUGAAGGCUCAAAAGGGAUAACUAAGGAUAGAAUGUUCGCUUGGAAAAGAAGAGGGCCUGACCUUUAUCCCGUUCUUUACAUUAACUCUGAAAGGAAACUUUCUUUAAUGACGAAAUUUCUCGCAUGUAUUCGAAUUAAUUGACUGAGGAAGACGCCUGUGAAGCAUAGAUGAUCCGCCAGAUGAAAUUCUUCCUUUUCUUUUUUCAACAUUGGAACCCAAGUGGAAUCAAAUUUCCAAUUUGCGGUUCUCUCCCUUUUAGCCUUAGCAUUUUGGCUUUUCUCUCUCUUUUGGAAAAUUCUCCAAUCUUCUUCCCCAGUGUGGGGGGCGAUCAUAAGUGCUUUGAAAAGAACCAGCAAUUUUGGCUCAAAUGAGGAUGCAAGGGAUAAAGCAGUGUUUAAAUGGUAGAAACGAUGGCCAAAGCAUCAUUCUUACGCUUCAUGACAAACCAAAGUAAAGAAAUGCUCAUUGAGAAUCCAUUCCCCCUUUUGAUAUUCGAAAAUUUUCCAUGUAGGGUUGUGAUCAUCAAGGCGCUUAUUUGAAACGAAGUUAUUCUUUUAAAGGCUCAAACGGGAGAGCAAAUGAUAAAAUCUGUAUGGGUAGAGAAACGAAUGCUCAAAGUAUCAUUCCAAAUUUUCAAAACAAAUAAGAAUAAUGCACCCUUUCGCUUUCACUUAGAUAUGAUUUGAGUCUAAUUAGACACUAUGGACAUUUUUCCAAGUAAAGGUUGCCCCAAUGGGGUCAAUAGAAGUGGCAAAACAUGAAUUGUUCAGCGAAGGAGAAAAGGUAUCUCAUUGGGCCUUUUGAAGGACCUCUCUUAUUUUUGAGCACUUUUAUUGUACAACUCGGAUCACCAAUCGAGAGUAAGGAUCUUAGGAAACAUUCACUUGUGAAUUUUCAGGCUGGAGAUUAAAAAUAUCUCAAUUUGGUCUUAUUUCUCAAAAUUCAUCAUGAAAUCUCCAAUGAGUAAGAAUAAAGAAUGAAAUGUACAUAAAUAUACACAAAACAAUAAUUGUCCAAAAAUUUUAUUGCUGAAAAACAAUUUGAAACAAAAUUUCUCGUUCAAUUAUGAUACAAAUGAGAAGAUAAUUUAUUGUUUCCUUUUCUUUUUGGAACAAAAUUUAACAAAUCAAAUAAACAAAAUUUCCCUUUGGAAAACAAUUACGACAUCUCUCAGAGGCUUUAGCGUAGAGCUUCCAGAUGGAUCAUUUAUGUUUUAAUCGUAGGAUCUGCCCAAGAAUCAAAUAACACUUGUAAUCUUCAAACUUUAUGGGAUUAAAAUUAGCAUCAGAUAUAGAAGAAUAUUUUCGUCUUAUUGAAACAUUUUUAUGAAUGCAGGGGAGGGGGAAAACAAAAGAAAAAUACCUAGAGUUAGUAGGCAAAACUGCAAAAUCGGUAUGCAUGUCCUAUGGGGGAACCCUUUUUGUGCCAAGGGUAGGCCUAGCAUGAAAAUGCAAUCCGCUAGAGUAGGCACUAUACAAUACCUGAUGGAUCUGAUCAAUUCAUUGAGUGAAAAAUAAUUUUGAAGAAUUUGGUCAAUUGGAGAGACGAAAGACACUGUCAAAAAGAGGACCUCGUCCGAAGGGAUUGAUCACCUUUGAUCGAUAUUUGCAAAAACGCACGGGUUUGACCUUGACGAACUUCCUAUCGAAGAAAUUGGAAUUCGUUUUGACAACUUUUCUCAGUGAAACACGGGUCAAAACUCCAACUGAUCAAAUGGCUGGAUGCAAUGGAUGUUUUUUUUUCUCAAAAUCGACUAGGUUUUCCAUUUUGAAAUUUGACAUUGAAAUCUUAAUUGGUCAAAUGAAAUUAACAAUUUAUUAAAAAUCGACCGGAUGACCCUAAAAAGGGUAGAUUGGUCAAAUGAAUUGAUUGAAAUUGAUAAUUUAUUCAAAAAUCGACCAAUCACCCUAAAAAGGGUAAAUUGGUCAAAUGAAUGAAAUUGAAUUAGUGAUUUAUUCAAAAAUCGGCCGAAUGACCCAAAAAGGGUAAAUUGGUAAUUGACGAUUUAUUCAAAAUCGACCGGAUGACCCUAAAAGGGGUAAAUUGGUCAAAUGAAUUGAUUGAAAUUGAUGAUUUAUUCAAAAAUCGACCAAAUCACCCAAAAAGGGUAAAUUGAUCAAAUGAAUUGAUUGAAAUUGAUGAUUUAUUCAAAAAUCGACCAAAUCACCCAAAAAGGGUAAAUUGAUCAAAUGAAUUGAUUGAAAUUGAUGAUUUAUUCAAAAAUCGACCAAAUCACCCAAAAAGGGUAAAUUGAUCAAAUGAAUUGAUUGAAAUUGAUGAUUUAUUCAAAAAUCGACCAAAUCACCCAAAAAGGGUAAAUUAGUCAAAUGAAUUGAUUAAAAUUGAUGAUUUAUUCAAAAAUCGACCAAAUCACCCAAAAAAGGGUAAAUUAGUCAAAUGAAUUGAUGAUUCAUUCAAAAAUUAACCGGAUGACCCUAGAAAGGGUAAAUUGGUCAGAUGAAUUGAUUGAAAUUGAUAAUUUAUUCAAAAAUCGACCAAUCACCCUAAAAAGGGUAAAUUGGUCAAAUGAAUUCAAAAAUCGACCAAAUCACCCAAAAAGGGUACAUUGGUCGAAUGGAUUGAACAAAAUUUAUGGUUGGAUUGAAUUGCCCACCCAUUGGUAAUUUCCAAAAAUUCAUUGUGAUGCAUUAGUCUAUGAGCCUUCUAAAAUCAGAUUUUGGCCUCAAUUCAUUUAUCGUCUCAAGAAUGAAGGAUCAUUUGUGAAUUUCUUUAAGUCAAUGUCCUUUAAGCAAGGGAUUUUUACCAAUUAUGUUAAAACGGCCAAAAGAUGAUUGUUAGAUGCUCAUAUUCUAAUGGUUCAAAAUUGCUUUGCCGUCUUUUGAAAAGAUCGGAUCCUACCUUACCUUGUGCACUACUCCUUUGGAUGGUACAAAAUGUAAACGUGCAAGUCUCGUUGGAUUAAGUAUCCGAGACACAAGGUGGUUUAUUCCUAAAUACGGGAUUCCCUAUGUGGCAUUCCCUUUCUAUGGUUUAUGCAUGAUGCCAUUUAUUAAAACGAUGUAAAUAUGUGACAAAUACGGCCUAAAGGACAUGAAUAAUGCAUCGGGGGGAAAAAGUCUAAAAAUGAAAUGUAUUUAUUGAAAAUUAAGUGUAAUGACUGAAAUUUAAACAUGUGAGUUAUCUAAUGGGGUAGGUCACUAAAAGAGUGCCAAAGUGGCCUCUUAUUGCUAAGGCAUAUGGAUGCAAGCCAAGAAAACAAAAGAAUGGUUAGUACACAUAACAUAUUGAGAGCAAUUAAGAAAAGAAAUACAAAUAAAAACAAGUAAAAGAGGUGGAACCCCUUCCCUCGUGCCUAAUGUGCUUAAUAGGGUAAGGUCGACUCUACCCUAGGCGAGUCUAACAUGGAUGCAUGAGGCUGGGGCUCACUAAUGCAACUAGACUCGAUAAGGUUUCGGCUCCCAAGCCUUCAGACCUAAAGGCGAAGGGUCAUCACCCCCAGGGCCCUUGGUCGGUGGCUCGAGUGAUCCCUUAGGUAGCGCUAUGGGCGCAGCGCACACCAGCCGCCUACCCAAGGCGAUCGAUCCUAAUCCUACAAGGCGGUGUGGGAAACGCCCACGAAAAAAUAAAAUAAAGUGGGAUAACAAUAAGUAAACGUGCACGUAUGAAGUGUUUCCUAUUUUGAGGGAAGAGGUCGAGAACCAAUCGCAAGGCUCUAACGGUGACACACACCCCCCCAAAAUGCAAUGCAUAGCGCGAAAUCAUACAUAAAUAAAUCAUCCACCCAUCCAAACAAUCGUAGGCGAAUGUGUGAGGAAGUGAGGUGAUACGCGAAAUGCAAAAAUCCUAAAAAAAGGGAAAAAUGCAAUCCUAAACAUCCAAUGUGAUAAAUGAAAAGGUUAAAAGAAGAAAAGAAUUGACUAAAUCGAUUGCUCGGACUCUCAAGUCCCCAGUGGAGUCGCCAACUGUCGCGCCCCAUUUUUUGAUAAAUAAAUAAAAUGAAAUGGUUUAAAAAAAUGUAUUUUUGUGAUUGAAUUUGUGAUUGGAAAAUGAAUUGUGAAUUAAAAGAAAAAUGGGUCUAAAUGGGGGUUUGAGAAUGCGACGAUUUGACCCAAAAUUAUAGUUUAAAAAGGUUUUUUUUUUUAAAACAAAAUACGGAGUCGCCACUUGGUAAUGAGUUAAGGUGUACCAGGUCACCAAAAAAUGAAUUUUUAAGAAAAAUAGGAAAAAGUAGUGAGAAACCCUUUUUAAACGACUCCUAGCCCACGUAAACCAAAGAAAAAGGUUCGGGAGUCACAUUUGACAAAGGGGAAGGCAAGGAUAAAAUCCAAGGCACCCCUUUGACCUAGCCAAGGCUAGUUGCAUGAUUUAAUCAAAGAUUUUCUUGUUUUAAUCAAAGAAUUUAUUACAUUUGGAUGCACUACAUGAAUGCAAAAUGAAGAAAAAAUGCAAACCUAAAUUCUAAAAUGUCUCUUGCAAGGUUUUUGGUCCCAACCACAUGAAUUGUGGCGGCCAAUAAAGGAAAACCUUAUAGAGGUCGAUUAAUGCAAAUGAUGGCUAAAGUGCAAGUGUGCAAGUGUAUAAAAAGGUGAACGUGUGAAAUUGUAUGAAAAAUCCAAGUGUUUGUGUGCAAGUGUAUGAAAAGGUGCAUGUGAAAUUGUAUGAAAAAUCCAAGUGUUUGUGUGAAAAUAGAAUAAUAGAUAUAUAAGGUAAAGUGGAAUUCCAUUUGUGAGGUGAAAAUGAGCGCGUGAUAGGAAAAAUGUAGUGAGAAAGUAUGGUUUGAGAAAUGUGAAAAAAUGUGGUCAAAAGAGUAUGUGGGUGAUAAAAAUGAAAGUAUGACCCUAGAGGAAUGCAACAAGUCGGGUACGGGGGUUGACUCCUGACUUUUCGACUUCUAUUUUCCCUUUGAUUAGAAGGCAAAACUAGUGUGCUAAGGCUAUUGAGUAGCCACACUCGCUCGUUUUCCUUAUCGGAAGGGGACACUCAAGCAAAAUGAACCCUAUAGCUAGCAUGAGAUGCAAAACCUAAAGUGAGGGGAAAGGGAUUCGAGGAACAUGCCCAAUGAUAAAACUAAAGAAAGUUGUAUGAUAUGUGGUGAACAAGCAAAUGAUGCACUAAUGAAAAGAAAGGAAAAAGCCUAUUGGGUCUAGCGUUGGACUAGCCCUUUCUAUGGAUUUCUACUAGCAUUGGACUAGUGGAAACGGAACAAUGAACCACAACUAGCGUUGGACUAGUGUGGUGACGAGAAAGGGGGCCACAACUAGCAUUGGACUAGUGUGGUGACGAGAAAGGGGGCCACAACUAGCAUUGGACUAGUGUGGUGACGUCCAUUCAUCCAUCACAUUCAUUCAUGACUAUAAAAAGCGAGUAGACAUGCGAAUCACUUAUAAACACGUAGCACAUAACACUUAGCAUGCUUGACUAGAUGCAAAGACCUAAUAAAGCGAUUAAACACGUAGCAACGAAAGCAAGCAAUGAACUUAUUACAUUUGCUAACUAAAACAAAAGGGGGGGAAAGGGAAAAUGGACAAGAAAGCUCACCAAGCCCUAUCUAUUACAAGCCAAGAGGUGUACACAUACCCCAUUUAAAAGAAUAAUUUAAUAAAAGCAAGAAUGAAUGAAAUAAUGGAACUAAAGAAUGGUAAUGAAAGCAAAUUAGGCAUGCGAUUCACACUUAGCACAUUGGAUCACAUAGGAGAGACAAAAGGGAUAAAAGAAAUUAUACCUCCCUUGAAAUGAAGCUCUAAUGGAGUGAAGUCAACUUAUUUACCCUCCAAAAUAAUAAAGGAGUCAAGGUGCCAAUUUAUUUGACAAAUAAUCACAAAGGAUAAAAAUAAACAUGAAUUUGAAUCAAUUAAAUCAUGUCAACAACCCACAUUUAAGAAGUCAAGAGAAGAAAAGACUUGAUUGCAAAAAAAAAUUAAUAAAGUUUUGGGGUCAAAAUUAAAGAAAAAUAAAGUUUAGGGGCCUAUUUACAAUUAAGUUAGGGACCCAAUUGAAAGAGGUUGAAAAUGUUUAGGGCCACAGUACAGUUAAAGAGAAAGUCAGGGGCUGAUUUGCAAAUGCCUUUUUUCUGGUUUCUUAGUGGAUCAGGCUACUUGGGCCAUUUAUUUGUUUGUUUGGGCCAAAGCUUCCUUAAGCCCGAUCAAAAAAAAUCAAAGAAAACAGAUGGGCUGGCCUUCACUUUCCAGCAAAGCAAAUCCAACCAAAAGAGUGGGCUUCACCUCUUAAGCCCAAACCAGAAAUCCAAACAAAAGAAAUUAAGCCCACUUUUCAAACCCAACCAAAUAUUAAUACCCAAAAAACCCAACUCAUAAAACUAAACCCAACAAGAUUAGCAAGUCAAAUAAAAUUAUCAAGCCACAAUUAUGAUCUAAAAUCAAGAAUUAAUCCACCCAAAAGACUGCUUAAAAAAUUGAAAGGAUAAUUAAAGUCUAAAAGGGCAAAAUUGGUUUAAUUACAAAAGGUUUUAGGCCAUAUCAGAAUAGGGGAAAUUCGAGGGAUUCAAAUGCAACCAAAGCAGGGACCUAAUUGAAGGACUUAUGCAGGUGUUGGAGGCAAAUUAUGAAGCUCAGAAAAUGCAGGACCAAAUCACAAAACAAAAAGAAAAUGGAGGGAUUGAAACUUCAAUUUAAGCAAGUAUUCAUCUUCCCCAAAUGAAUUCAACAUCAGACCAACAUUGCUACUUUCUUACGAAGGAAAAAUGUCCGAAAAAAAAAAACUUCGGACUCACAUGAAUUUCUUCUCAUCUGAAUUCAUAUCAUUAAAUCGAUUUUAUGCAAGAAGGGAAAUUAAGAAAACAAAGCCCGUCAAAUACUGCUUUUAUUCACGAAAAACGACACCGGCUACUUGUUCUCUUCAUCCGAAAAAUGCAGAUAAAUCACCUUGGAAUCAGAAAUUUCAAUCAAGCAAUUCGUCGAACAGGUUAGGGGCGUUAGAAAAUUCACCAAUUCUUUGUUAUAUGGAAGCAAUAAUCGGCCCAAAAUUUAUCAGAAAUCAAGCCAUUCAGCUCAAUCAACGUAUGCAGCAUGUGUAUUCAAAAAUGAAGCCAAUUAACAGGAGAAUUGCACCAAAUAAAAUCACGGAAAACCCAUUUCAAAAGCCGGACAAGAACUGGAAAAUUUUUAUCUCCACCAUGUUUCAGUCCAAUUAGCGAGAAAACAAAACAUACACAAUUACGAAAUCACAUAUAAAGCUAUAGGCAACUAAUCAAUAUCAGAAAAAUGAACAAUAAGCUUCAAAAAAUCUAGAACCGAAACUCGAAAAUUAAGGGAGAAAGACUUACAGUGCUAAUCUCAAUGAGCUUCAAUGAUGGUGGUAGUGGAUUUCGGUGGGCAGCCUUCCCUUCUUGCUUCUGGCCCGAAGUUCUUCUGAAUGGCCUGCUUGUGGCUUCGUUAUGGAGAUUGAGGAGAGGGAUCGUGAGGCUUUUGGGAGGCGGAUUGGGCUUCCUUCCAUUUCUGUGAAGCUUUGAUAGCUGCAACCAAUUCUUUCCCUGGCAAAGCUCGUUUCUUCCUCCGUUCAGCCGAAGCCUCCCUUUUCCUUUUUCUGCUUUUUCCCUUGCCAGCCGACCUUUUCUUCUUCCCAAGCCCAGACCAAAUCUCCCAUUUUCCAUCCGCGGCCCCCCCUAUGGUUCGUCCGUAGCUUCUCUUUCUCUGUUUUUGUUGUCUCCUUUCUCCAUCAGACGGAAGCCUCUGACUUCCUUGUUUCUCCCUAGCCAGCCAUCCCCGAUUCUCCCUUUUUGUUUUCUCAUUUUUUUGAUUUUCCUUUUUCUGUUUUUCUAUUCCUUCCCCCCUGGCGUGGCCGAAGCCUUCCUCUUUGUUUUUCUUGUUCUGUUUUGCUCUCUAGCCGCCCCUCAAUUUCUCCCUCUCUGCCAUUUUCUCAGCCGAAGACCCCUCUCGGUUCUUCCCUCUGCUGUUUUUUCCUUUUUCCGUUGUGUUUUCCCUUGGUCAAAAACUUCCGCCAAACUCCUCUGUUUUCUCUUUUUCUGUUUUUUGCCCCCGCCCCCUGCUGAAGAUCCCCUUGUUUUUUUCUUUUCUUUCCCUCUCUUUUUUCUUCCCUCCGAUGAUGCUCUCUUACUCCUCUAAAUGUGUAACACCUAAACCCCUUUGUUGUCCAACUAGAAUGAGGACAUUUGUCCCACAUGCAAGAUUCCACUUGACAUUUUUAUUAUUUUCUUCUUUUUCUUUUUUUUUUCCUGAAAUUUAGUAUGAAGAUCAAAAUAAACUAAAAUGGCCUAAAAAUAAAAUAAAUUAAAAUAAAAUAAAAAUAAAAUAAAAUAAAUAAAUAAACCAAAAACUAAAAAUUGAACACAUAAAUCUAAACUUAAAUCAAUUAAAAACAGAGUUGAAAAAAUCAAAAAUUUGGUGUCUACAAUAAUGUAGUAGAAGUAAUAUGAAUAAUGAUUAAUAAAGAUACAAGAGAAUUGUUACAGUUUUUUUUGAAUAAUAAUAUAUAAUGAUACAAGAGAUUUGUUAUAGUUAUAUUGCAUAGAUGAUAUAGUCUACAAGUGGACUCUUAGACCAAAUUUACACAAGUAUUUGCCAUCUUUUGAAGCUUUAUCAAGUUAGCAGGAAAGAAUUCAUUUUCUUCCAAUAUCAAAAAAAUAAAAAACUCAUUUUUUCCCUUCCCCCCCACCCCCCUUCUCUCGAGGAGACCAAAAAACCAUAUUAUAUUGUCAUGAUCAAAUGCUCUACUAUUUUUAGUUUGCAACUAAGAAUGCCUAGUCUAAAAUUUAGUGCAUUCACGAUCAACAAGACUGUAAAUUUAAGCAAUUUUUUGGUAAAAAUAUGCAAAGUUCACAUAAAACUUAUGUUUGUACUAAUUUAGUUCAUGAACUUUAAUCUUGUCUUACAUUGGCGCAAUAAGAAAUAGAAGUUUAGUGCAAUGACAUAUUAUUUAUUACUCCAAAUAGUACAAUUAAUGCUGCUCCUUUAUUUGAUAAAUCCUGUCAAACUGCAGCUGUAGCACGCAAGCAAACUCAUAAACAUGCUUCAGCUUUAAUUGGCAGCAGCAAAUAUAAUGUAGUACCAAUUGUUAACUUCAGUUCAAAUUUUUAAGAUACCAAAAAGUAGAGUACUCUCCAUUAUUGCAUACACA